rnacentral:rRNA from 1 species
UGGGGAAUAUUGCGCAAUGGGGGGAACCCUGACGCAGCCAUGCCGCGCGAAUGAAGAAGGCCUUAGGGUUGUAAAGUUCUUUCGGUAUUGAGGAAGGUUGAUGUGUUAAUAGCACAUCAAAUUGACGUUAAAUACAGAAGAAGCACCGGCUAACUCCGUGCCAGCAGCCGCGGUAAUACGGAGGGUGCGAGCGUUAAUCGGAAUAACUGGGCGUAAAGGGCACGCAGGCGGUUAUUUAAGUGAGGUGUGAAAGCCCCGGGCUUAACCUGGGAAUUGCAUUUCAGACUGGGUAACUAGAGUACUUUAGGGAGGGGUAGAAUUCCACGUGUAGCGGUGAAAUGCGUAGAGAUGUGGAGGAAUACCGAAGGCGAAGGCAGCCCCUUGGGAAUGUACUGACGCUCAUGUGCGAAAGCGUGGGGAGCAAACAGGAUUAGAUACCCUGGUAGUCCACGCUGUAAACGCUGUCGAUUUGGGGGUUGGGGUUUAACUCUGGCGCCCGUAGCUAACGUGAUAAAUCGACCGCCUGGGGAGUACGGCCGCAAGGUUA